UACGUAGGGGGCAAGCGUUGUCCGGAUUUAUUGGGCGUAAAGAGCGUGUAGGCGGUUCGGUAGGUCCGUUGUGAAAACUCGAGGCUCAACCUCGAGACGCCGAUGGAAACCCUCGAACUAGAGUCCGGAAGAGGAGAAUGGAAUUCCUGGUGUAGCGGUGAAAUGCGCAGAUAUCAGGAAGAACACCCGUGGCUAAGGCGGUUCUCUAGUACGGUACUGACGCUGAGACGCGAAAGCGUGGGAGCGAACAGG
rnacentral:rRNA from 1 species